ACAUUCUCCGGAUAGAACAUUGUGUCGGCGGUCGUCAUGGAAACUGUGCACGUGGGGGGAGGGCAGCUCUUCCUCGCCUCCUGCGGUAGUGUUCCGGUAGCAAUGGCUUUUAAUUGUGCGCUGCAAGAGUUUGCGCUGCUAUCACCUCUGAGUUAUUGGCUUCUGACUAUUCAAGAAACAGAACUACGCAAUACGAGGAGCUUCCUUGAAAAAGACGCCUGCGGUAAUACUAACUCACAAUACGCUCAAGAUGCGAAGAUCUCGGAAUGCGUUUUAGAUAUUUUAAUAAGCCUGGUGGAAGUGGAGGAAAAUCCUUCAAGGAAGAAAAGAAGGAAUACCUGUGUAGCACCUUCUGAUAGGCAGGUCUAGGACUUCUCUGCCUGGAUGAACUCUUGGAUCCAUCUCUGUUCUACCCUGAAAUAAUCAGAUUGCCUUACAUCAAAUCCCUCCCGUCUCAACACUGUUUAAUAAUAAAAACCUACCUCACA